UAUUUUAAUCAUCCAAGGGGGGAAAAGACAACACUGUUAGUUUAAAAAAUAAUAAUAAAGGAUGAAGAGAGAAUGGGUGUCAUGGAGGAAGGGGCACAUUCCAGAGGGAUUGAUGACAUAAGCAGUGAGUAAUUCCUAUGUGGGAGAGAGCAGUAAGCACAUUGGUGGGGCUGGAACAAGGCAGCAAGGAUGACUCACAAAUGAUACACCAAGGUCAUGAAGUAACCCAGCCACCAUGCAGGAAUAACCCAAUCUAGACCACCAGGAGAGAAACUGAAGUCCCCAGCCAAUAAGAAAGCAUCCACUGUCAGAUGUCUGAAUCCAAUCCUAACUGGCACUCAAUCCUUCAUGAUUCUACUCACAUUUUGUGAAGAAAGAAGUGGAUGCAGUGGUGGACAGGGCUUGGAAUGAUGAACAUGAAUGGGAGAGAUGGAAAAAUCUGAUUGUCACUCAUUCAUUUCAGCACGUGGCAAGGGCAAGAUUUAAUUUUUGCCACUGAAUCCCCUGGAGCUGCCUUUGUUUCUCUGUUCCUUAAGCCUGGUUCUCUAGCCUUCCUUUGAUUCUGUGAGCUAUCCAAUAUCCUCCCAGGAUUCAACAUUUCUGUUCAAGUUAGCCAUAAUGAGUAUCUGUGGCUUGAAACCAAAGAAAUCCAAAGGAAGAAAGACAGAAGCUUUAGAAAAAAAUUAAAGGAAGCUGAGGCAAAGCGCACAGAGCUUUAGAAAGACAUUUCUAAAUCACUACCAACAGGGAAGUGGCCAUGAUUAUGUAAGGAGAACUGAGGCAAGACCAGUCAGAAUGCAGGGCUAGAGUUUUAUGUAUUCUACACCGCAGGAAUUGAUGGGCAGAAUUGACAUUACAUAACCCUGAGUGUUACGUAAGGUGUUUGAGCUAUACCACUGGAUGCUCAUCACAGGGUAAUUAAGUAAAGGCAACUCAAAUAUAUUUACAUCUA